rnacentral:rRNA from 1 species
GACCGAGGAGGCAAGCGUUGUUCGGAAUUACUGGGCGUAAAGAGCGUGUAGGCGGCCCGCAAAGUGCGGUGUGAAAGCCCGGGGCUCACCCCCGGAAGUGCGCUGGAAACUGCCCGACUAGAGGAUGGGAGAGGUAAGUGGAACUCCUGGUGGAGCGGUGAAAUGCGUAGAGAUCAGGAGGAACGCCGGCGGCGAAGGCGGCGUCCUGGGCCAAUACUGACGAUGAGACGCGAAAGAGUGGGGAGCAAACAGG